rnacentral:rRNA from 1 species
UGGGGAAUAUUGCACAAUGGGCGCAAGCCUGAUGCAGCCAUGCCGCGUGUGUGAAGAAGGCCUUCGGGUUGUAAAGCACUUUCAGCGAGGAGGAAGGGUAGUGUGUUAAUAGCACAUUGCAUUGACGUUACUCGCAGAAGAAGCACCGGCUAACUCCGUGCCAGCAGCCGCGGUAAUACGGAGGGUGCAAGCGUUAAUCGGAAUUACUGGGCGUAAAGCGCACGCAGGCGGUUUG